rnacentral:rRNA from 1 species
CGGAGGGAUCAUUAAAGAGUUCUAUAACUCCCAAACCCAUGUGAACAUACCUAACGUUGCCUCGGCAGGUCGCACCUACCUUGUAGCACCCUACCCUGUAGGGCCUACCCGGGAGGUGCGGGUAAGCCUGCCGGCGGCCCACCAAACUCUGUUUGAUAUUGAAUUCUGAACCUAUAACUAAAUAAGUUAAAACUUUCAACAACGGAUCUCUUGGUUCUGGCAUCGAUGAAGAACGCAGCGAAAUGCGAUAAGUAAUGUGAAUUGCAGAAUUCAGUGAAUCAUCGAAUCUUUGAACGCAUAUUGCGCCCAUUAGUAUUCUAGUGGGCAGGACCGUUCGAGCGUCAUUUCAACCCUUAAGCCUUCGUUGCUUAGUGUUGGGAGCCUACGGCAACGUAGCUCCUCAAAGUUAGUGGCGGAGUUGGUUCACACUCUAGACGUAGUAAUUUUUUAUCUCGCCUAUUAGUUGGACUAAUCCCCUGCCGUAAAACCCCCAAUUUAUAUCAAGGUUGACCUCGAAUCGGUUCAGACAAACUCGCUAAAUUGAAGCAUCUUAGUCAGCGAAGGAAAAGAAACCAACAGGGAUUGCCCUAGUAACGGCGAGUGAAGCGGCAACAGCUCAAAUUUGAAAUCUGGCCCUCGGGUCCGAGUUGUAAUUUGUAGAGGAUGCUUUUGGCGCG